rnacentral:miRNA from 1 species
GGAGGAUUGAUUGAGCUCAGGAGGGUGAGGCUGCAGUGAGCUAUGAUCAUACCACUGCACUCCAGCCUGAGUGACACAGCAAGACCUUGU